UGUUGUCUGCAGAAUUAGUUUUGUGUGUUUUUAUUUCCAUGCUUCUCUCUCCUUUAUCUGUGUUUGAGUGUGUUCAUCUAAAUUUGUUCAUCUGAAUCUAUCCAUACGACUCACAUUAGCGGUGCAUUUGGGGCCAUUAUCAAUUGCACCAUGCUGUGCUCCUGUGUACUUGUGGUGCUUCUAGUCCUUCUAGCCAAUCCGGUGCCAGGCCACACCCGAACCCUUCACACCCCUGACAAAGCCAUGCAGGUCAUCGAGCAGUUCCUUGAGCGCUACAAUGACCUUUUGACCCAUGAUGAUCUUGACAACCUCACGAGUGACCAGUCAGAAGAGCCCAUGCAGACCUUCAGCUCUGGACUAAAGGUGGCAGAAUACCCCAAGUGGAUUGACACACCUGUGCAGAGCGAGAAUGCCUGGCUCCGCCUCUUGAAGGGGGCUUUGGUCAAUCAGAAGCGAGCUCCACCGAACCGGUUGCGGAGGGGUUGGAACCGAGGCUGUUUUGGCCUGAAACUGGAUCGGAUCGGCUCUAUGAGUGGCCUCGGCUGCUAAUAAUGAACUGAGAGACGGACCGAGAUGAUGAGAUGACUGUUGUCCCGCUUAGCUUUAGGUAGAGGUCAUUACCAAAUUCUGGUCAGGUUUUGGACACCGUGAAAAAAGUUAGGUGGACAAAUUCAUUAUAUUGUGCAUUUCAAUAUACUUAUUUUUACAUUGAAUUUGAAGUGACAUGUUGUUUAACUGUAUUUGUAUAUUUAUUUCUUAAUGAAGGUAGCAAGAAUUAAGUGUUUACUUUGUUCCUUGAGAUGUAGAUGAGAUACAAUCAUUUUGAUAAUCUGCUAGUAGUAAGUAAAGAUCUUCUAAUGCAUGAUUUUCAGAACAUAAACAUGUACUGCUCACCUUCUGUACUUUUUGCAUGAAUAAAAUUUCUU